rnacentral:sRNA from 1 species
GCUUAGCUUUUUUGGACACUGAAUGUGAAUACUCUAAUAUUUUAACUUUUUAUGGCGAAGAGCUUGAUGCUAUAAUGCAGAUGUAUGAUAGAGAGAAAGACGAUCCUCAAGUACAAAGAAAUAUGCCGCCCAUAGCUGGAAGGAUCUCAUUUCUAAGACAAAUUUUGAGCCAUAUUGCUGAGCCCAUAUUUCUUUUACAGAAAUACAGCCCCUGUGUCCUGAAGACAAAACCAGG